AGCUCCACCUCCUCCCGGAAUCCCGGAGCACACAUACACAAACACCCCUUUUCUAUAUAAGAACAAAUAAGAAAGGGGCCUGGUGCAUGUGCUCUGUGCUCAACGUCUUCUUCUGCUCCGUCUUCUGAUAGUGAUUGAGAGCGUGAUAGAGAGACGCAGACCGAUGGGGGGACCAAUGGAGCUUUUGCCAAGGCAAGG
ensembl:ncRNA F55A8.3 ncRNA